rnacentral:rRNA from 1 species
AUUGAACGCUGGCGGCAGGCCUAACACAUGCAAGUCGAGCGGAAACGAUCCUAGCUUGCUAGGAGGCGUCGGGCGGCGGACGGGUGAGUAACGCGUGAGAAUCUACCCAUGAGUGGGGGACAACCCGGGGAAACUCGGGCUAAUACCGCAUACGCCCUACGGGGUAAAGCAGGGGACCUUCGGGCCUUGCGCUGAUGGAUGAGCUCGCGUCGGAUUAGCUUGUUGGUGAGGUAAAGGCUCACCAAGGCGACGAUCCGUAGCUGGUCUGAGAGGAUGAUCAGCCACACCGGGACUGAGACACGGCCCGGACUCCUACGGGAGGCAGCAGUGGGGAAUCUUGGACAAUGGGGGCAACCCUGAUCCAGCCAUGCCGCGUGUGUGAAGAAGGCCUUCGGGUUGUAAAGCACUUUCAGCAGGGAGGAAGGCUUACCCCUAAUACGGGUGAGUACUUGACGUUACCUGCAGAAGAAGCACCGGCUAAUUUCGUG